rfam:Capsicum annuum cultivar Zunla-1 chromosome 5, whole genome shotgun sequence
GUCCCUUUGGGGACAUCCAAUAACAUUGGAACGAUUCAGAGAAGAUUAGCAUGGCCUUGCAAGGAUGACACGCACAAACCGAGAAAUGGUCAAUAACCUG